rnacentral:rRNA from 1 species
UUUGUUUUUUAAUUAAAAACUAGAAUGAAAGAUUUUACAUUUUAAUUUCUUUAUUAAAUAUAAUAUACUAACUUAUAUUAAAUAUAAAAAUAUAUUUAUAAAAUAAAAAGACGACAAGACCCUAUUAAAUUUUACUUAUUGUUUAGCUGGGGCAGCUUUUUAAAUAAAACUUUAAAAUUUAUAAUAUAAUAAUAUAUCUAUACUAAAAUUAAAAAAUCUAUUAUAAAUAAAUUAAUCUAAUUACUAUAGGGAUAACAGCGUUAUAUUUUUUUCAAGUUCAUAUUAAAAAAAUCAUUGCGACCUCGAUGUUGAAUUAUAUUUCUUUAUUAAUGCA